AUACGGAGGGUGCGAGCGUUAAUCGGAAUUACUGGGCGUAAAGGGUGCGUAGGCGGCUUGAUAAGUCGGAUGUGAAAGCCCCGGGCUUAACCUGGGAAUUGCAUUCGAUACUGUCAGGCUAGAGUAUGUCAGAGGUUGGCGGAAUUCCUGGUGUAGCGGUGAAAUGCGUAGAUAUCAGGAGGAACACCAGUGGCGAAGGCGGCUAACUGGGGGAAUACUGACGCUGAGGCACGAAAGCGUGGGGAGCAAACAGGAUUAGAAACCCUAGUAGUCC
rnacentral:rRNA from 1 species